AGUUGGUGUUUGGUGGGAGGAGCGCGGUUUUUGGUUUGAUGGGGGGCGACAGGGAUGGGGGGGAUAGUGCUUCUGGACCCGGAGUGUGCGGGGUCCCAGCGAGGGAUGGCGCGCUCGAGCGGGACGUUGAAUGUAUUGGAUGCACGUCGGGGGCACUAGCAAGAGGGUUGGCCGGGCGCAGAAGUGAUAUGGAGAGGGGGGCGACAUCCACAGCUCUGGCGCGGAGGGCCCUGAUGACGGAUGUGUCGAUGGGGUGGGAGGGGGCCAGGAUUUUGCAGGAGCGGCGGGACCCGGGAGGGGG
rnacentral:lncRNA from 1 species